CUUCUGGUGGGGGGGGGGGGGGGGGGACAGGAAACCGGGGCCUUUCCGCCUAGCGUCGGGCAGAAGAGUCCUGCCUGUUUCAGCCCAGCCUGAGACAGGGAACCAGCCUUCUGACUCAUCUCUCCCGGGAGCCAGGCACACUGGGGCCUUGUGCGGGGGCCGGGGGGGGUGACUGACUCUGGGCCCAAGGCAAGACCACAUGGCAUCUUUCUUUCCCCAGUCAAGCCAAGUCUCUGUAGGCAGGGCAGUAAGGGGCCCCAGCCACCUGGACUCCCCUGGAGGGGGGCUAUGGCACAUUUUUUAACUCUAACAUUUCAGGCCAGAUGCACUUGUGGCGUGCCCAGCCCUGUGUUGAACUGCUGGCAUCACCAGGUGCCUGUCUCAUGGCCCAAGCACCUGGGAGACCUGUGCUGUGUCCUCCAUUUCAUCCAUGAUGACCACAGGCCUGCAGAGGUGAAGCCUUCGCCGGGCCUCCUGGCUGUGAUGCACAAGCAGAAAGGGUCCCACCCAGGCCCUGCCUACCUGCCUGCCAGGCUCCUCCUCCAGUGCCUUUGGGUGACUUCUCCAGGAGGCUUGAGACACCCAGGUGUCCCCAAGGCCAUUGCCCGUGGACACUGGAGUGGCCGAGAUGCAGAGGGGCAGCUCUGCUGAGUGUGCAGAUGUAGAGGACCAGUGACUCAGUGUGGUCGUCAUGGGAAUCAUGGCAGUAAGGCUGUGAUCCUACUGUGUUGCCCAGAGGAGGUGCUGUGGGGCCCAAGGACUCAAAAUUGUACACAACCACCAUGUUUGUGUUGGUGCCGGUUCCGUAGACUCCACGGUUCGAGUGGAGGUGGCGUGACCCCAGAGAGAAGCCCUGGGGCCCUCACUGGAGACCCUGUCAGGUUAUGCUCCCAUACUGCCCACACUGAAGGAUGCCCUAGGUCCCAGGCCUCUGCAGCUUGCCUGUGGUUUUAUUAGGUGUGAGAACUUCAGGUCAUGGCUCAUGGUAGCAUGUGGCUCUGGAGACCUCUUGGAAGAAAUCGGGUGCAAAGUAUUUAGAGUAGCUGGAGGUCUCUUGAGUCGAUAAGCUCUAGUCCUUAUCUCAUGGAUCCCAUGAAACAUGUAAAUACUGCUCCUUUCCCAUUGACUGCCAGGAAGCUCUGACCCCUACGUGUAGCCCACAGGCCACUUGGCUCUUACGCUGACCUUGUUCCUGCUUCUUUCGGACUUUCAUACUCUUCUUUUCUGCUUGCCUCAUUUUCAUCGCCUAAUUUUCCCAGGGAAGAAAAAACCUUGCUGUUUUAUGUUUUUGAGCCUUAACUAAACAAACAUCUAUGGUGGCUCAGUGUUGGCUCCUGCAGAUCCGGGAUUAAGCAUUUCCUCCCCAGCCUCUAUCCCAGCCAACUCCCCCUUCCCUGUCCAGUUCCCUGCCCUUUGCUCUGGUUCCUGGCACCCCAGAGCUUUGGGGGCCCCUCCAUCCCGGCUCUGAGUCUGCUCAGAGAGACAACGUUCAGUUCCCUUUUUCUCCACUUUCCUUCCCCAUCCCCCUUGGCCUUUAUAAGAGUCCUGGGGAGGAGAGAGGGAAGGGAGGCAUGUCCCCAAGUUCCGAGGGAGCUGUUCUCCAUAACCCCAGCUCCUGCCCUGUCCCAACGGUGUCCAGCCAACUGCUGUCCAUCACGGCCACCCAAUCAGGGAGAGCCCAGCUCUAGGGGAAGCAGCGGGGCACCUUGUAAAUAGGAGAGGGAACAGCUGGUCAGCAGUGCCCUGGGUUUAGGACAGGAUGGGCCCCACCCUGUCACAGCUACCUUUCCAGCUCUUGUGUGAAGUGGCUUCAAUUCAUCUGAGGAUUAUGACUCAAAGCUCCCCAUGAACUGUCUCUCGGCUCUACCUUGCACGUCACACAGUUUCUGGUUCACGUCCCCAGUGUGUUUCUGCAGGUAUAUAAAUAUUUGUGUGUGCUCCUUAUAAAACCAGAGAUGGUGGUAGGUAUCACACCUCGUUCUCUGGCCCUAGCUGUUUUGACUCUCUACAUGGGAUGCUUGUUCCUCGUUAGUACAAAGCGGAUCCCUGGAGCCCUCUCUGAGCAGUGAAGGGGUCAGGCCUCUGGGGCGGGGGCCUCCUCAGCUUCAGGAGGUCCCGGGAAACAUAUAAGUUGUGUGUGUAACAUUGUGGGUACAAAUGGCAUUUUCUGGGACAAGGACUUGUGUUUCCCAAGGGGCCUGUGGCCCAGACAGAGUACAGAGCUGCCCCUGGGCCGAGCUGGAUUCCCACCAAGCAGGGAGGGAGAACAGAGCCUGUGGGCCUCAGCCCGUGGGGCAGCCACAGAUGAUGCCGGAGCUGGGGGACAGUCAAAGACACCCCACUCUAGUCCCUUCUGGAAGAUGCCUGGACAUGCGCACUGCCAAGGGGGGCCCGUCGGCUGCGAGGGUGGCCCAAGUGUGGAGUGGGGGUCUUCGUGAGAUGGAGAAGCCCGGUCGGUCGUCAGAGCUGGGGCCCUCUGGUCUCUGGAUCGAUGGUCAGAGCCAAGGCGCAGAGGCCAGGGAGAGCCCUUGGCCACUCAGCCAGGGAAGGGUGGAGGCCAUGGCUCCCCUGCGGGGACAGAAACUUCAGUGUUCUUCCCUCCCGAGGAAAGAGGCCUCGGAUGAGGCGAGGCUGCCUGUGGCUGCUGGCUCUGGAGUGAUUGAGGAGGGGGGUGCGCAGCCGGGACGGGUGCUGUCAGCACACCUCGCUGCUUCCUGCGGCCUUCAUCUCCCGCUGGCCACUGCUUCUGCUUAGAACCUGCCAGGCAAACGCCGGUCCAGGAGGCUGCACUACAGCCUCUGGCCACUAGAGGGCAGCAGGAAAGCCACUGCGGUGCCUAAGGAGAGAGGCGGGGCAGAAGGGGGUGGGAGAAGUCUGUGUGUGUCCCUGUCAGAGUGAGACCCCGUGGGCUGCAGGGUGAUGUGUAAUGAGGCACUUUCCCUGGAGAGAAGAGCAAAGCAUUAAUGAUGAUACUAUUAAUUGCUUUAUAGGGUGCUUGCCUUGUGCUGGGUGCUGUCAGAACUAAUUAGUCCUCCCAACAGCCUUGUUAUAAUUACUCCCACUUUGCAGGUGAGAAAACAGAGGCCCAGAAAGAUUAAGACAUCCAGACAAGCUCCCACAGCCAGUAAGUGGGCGAGCUGGGAGAGCCUGCACCUUAACUAAAUGUCUGGAAUUGUCUGAAUCCUUUAAGAACUCUUCCAAUUCUUAUAAUCACUGCUGUGAUUGUACCCAUUAUGGAUGGGGAAACUGAGGCUCAGGGGCAGCAGGUGAAUCACCCAGGUGUGCAUCCCUGCUGAGUGACAGAUCCAGGCUGACAUGGCUCACAGCUUGAGGCCUUAGCCCUGAACUUGAGCUUUUCCGAAUCAAGUUCUGCUCCUCUCCCACCAGGGGCGCCCAUUGGAAGCUGGCUGGCGCUGAGGUGGGAGCUUUCUCCUGGGCGUGGAGUUAGUUCACCAUCUCCCCUGUCUUCCAACACAAAGGACGGAUCCUGGGCUCCCGUGUUGGAGGCACGAUGCCCUAGAGGUGGAGGGAGGCCAUUCCUGAGUCACUGGAAGCCCAGAAGGGGGCCUGGGCUCCACCUUCUAACUUGGAGCCCAGGGGCAUUGGGGAGGCUUUUGCAGUGGCCAGCGCUCCCUUGGGAACAGCAGGACCUGGCCCUGGGGCUCGGGUUUCCAGGGCAGAUGCCUCCAGCAUGCCAAGGACACUUGGCUAGCCCUGGACCUGCCUCUGCCAGGUAGCUGCUCUGCUCUCAUCGGUGUGGUUGAGGAGGAAGAAUCCCUCUUCCUGGCUGGCCCUCUGGAGCUGUGCUUUUGACCUGGAGGCUGGGGGGUGAGCCCUGUGCCUGAUCUCCACCCCCAUCACUGAACAAGUUGGAUUUUGUCUCACUGAUUUCAAAUGCAGAACCAAUGGGGGCCGCGCUGACUUUCAGGAGUCUGGGCACUCAGGCUGGCCGGCCUCUGCCCAUGGGCCUUGUGCCAGCAGAGGGGCACAGGCUCAUUGGGAGGGUAAGGGGGGAGGUAAGUGAAGGUGAGAUGUGGCCCAAGAUGCAGGACCUUGGGCACCAGAGAUGGCACUUGCUUGGUUGGGGCCCUGGAGUCAGUGAUAAAUCCAGGGGGCAUUCGGGGCCCCUCACUGCCUGGCCCUGGGGGCGGCCUGUGGGCCACAGGGCACAGGAGAGAAUGUAGGAGGCGACCCUGGGAGCCCAGCCCUACCCUCAGGACUCUGUCUUCUCUGCAGGCUGCUGGCCACAGGGCUGCUGCACAGGCUUGGCCCGCAGGACCAUUGCUGGCUUGGCCUGGCGACACUGGUGGCUGCAGACUGUCCAGCCUGGGACAGCCCCUCUUUGACCUCGAGCCGUGCAGAAGCAGCCCCAUGAAGGUGGCCAGCCAUGCAAUGCUCCUGGAAGGCCGUGCUCCUCCUGGCCCUGGCCUCCAUCGCUAUCCAGUACACGGCCAUCCGCACUUUCACCGCCAAGUCCUUCCACACCUGCCCUGGGCUGGCCGAGGCCGGGCUGGCCGAGCGGCCGUGCGAGGAGGGCCCCACCUUCGCCUAUAACCUCUCUCGGAAGACCCACGUCCUCAUCCUGGCCACCACUCGAAGUGGCUCGUCCUUCGUGGGCCAGCUCUUCAACCAGCACCUGGACGUCUUCUACCUGUUCGAGCCCCUCUACCACGUCCAGAACACGCUCAUCCCCCGCUUCACCCAGGGCAAGAGCCCGGCCGACCGAGCGGGUCAUGCUGGGUGCCAGCCGUGACCUGCUGCGGAGCCCUCUAUGACUGCGACCUCUACUUCCUGGAGAACUACAUCAAGCCGCCUCCAGUCAACCACACCACCGACAGGAUCUUCCGCCGAGGGGCCAGCAGGGUCCUCUGCUCCCGGCCGGUGUGUGACCCCCGGGGAGCCCCGACCUGGUCCUGGAAGAGGGGACUGCGUGCGGAAGUGUGGGCUGCUGAACCUGACCGUGGCCGCCGAGGCCUGCCGCGAGCGCAGCCAUGUGGCCAUCAAGACGGUGCGGGUGCCAGAGGUGAACGACUUGCGGGCUCUGGUCGAAGACCCCCGCUGAACCUCAAGGUCAUCCAGCUGGUCCGAGACCCCGGGGCAUUCUGGCCUCCCGAAGCGAGACCUUCCGUGACACGUACCGGCUGUGGCGGCUCUGGUGCACGUGCACGGGGAGGAAGCCGUACAACCUGGACGUGACGCAGCUGACCACGGUGUGCGAGGACUUCUCCAACUCCGUGUCCACGGGCCUCAUGCGGCCCUCGUGGCUCAAGGGCAAGUACAUGCUGGUGCGCUACGAGGACCUGGCCAGGAACCCCAUGAAGAAGACCGAGGAGAUCUACGGCUUCCUGGGGAUCCCCCUGGACGGCCAUGUGGCCCGCUGGAUCCAGAACAACACUCGGGCCGACCCCACCCUGGCCAAGCACAAGUACGGCACCGUGCGGAACUCGGCUGCCACAGCUGAGAAGUGGCGCUUCCGCCUCUCCUACGACAUCGUGGCCUUCGCCCAGAGCACCCUGUCAGCAGGUGCUGGCCCAGCUGGGGUACAAGAUAGCCGGGUCGGAAGAGGAGCUGAAGAACCCCUCCAUCAGUCUGGUGGAGGAGCGGGACUUCGGCCCUUCUCGUGAGGCGGGCGUGCGGGGGGUGGGGCGCCAGGGGUCGGACCAUUUCUAACUGUUGCCUUAUUUCCCGCCCGCGCCCGCCCGCCCGUCUGUCUCGCCCGGCCUAUCUUUGUGUCCUCCCUGCCCUCUGCCCGCCUCUACUCCCUGCUGCCUCUUUUUGUCUCUGAAAUUUGCACUACCAUCGUAGGGGGAAUCCCUGGGGCAGAGGGCAGGGAGAAGUGGGGGACGCCCCGCACCCCAUGCAGACACACGGAUGUUGGGUCUCUAGGUGGACCGUGAUGAUGUUUACAAGCACCCCACUCACACAUGCACACAACGCACAUGGGGACCGGUGGGGAGAGGCACCCCGACCCCCAGCCUCCAAGCUUUUGGAAUGGAUGAGUGUGGGGUGGGGGGUUGGGGUUUUGCACUGUCUUACUUCUGCAAAGUAAGGGGAUGGAAACGAAGGACCACCUCUGGCUGACGUAGGAAAGGGGUCUCUCCCUCCCCCCUACCUGCUCCCCGCCCCUGGCACCCACCUUCUCCCUUAGAGUAGAGAUUCUGCUCCCUCCCUGCCUGCCGCCCUUGCCUGUCGGGGAGCAGGUUCUAACUGUGAGGUGAACGUGGGCCUUGUUGAUCUUCUCCAGUCUGUGGUGAUGCUGACUGUCUGUCUGUCUGUCCGUCUUAGUCUUGUGGCUGCCCCUGGACCGGCAAUAACGGGUGAGUCUUCUUACUAUGAAUUUCUGGUUGAUUUUGGGGUCCAUCUGUGAAAUUUCUUUGUGCCAAAAAGAAAAAAAAAAGAGAGUGGAUCAGUUUGCUAAAUGAACAUUGAAAUGCUUUAUCUGUGUUUUCUGUAAAUAAAAGUGUGCAAUACUAUCUGCGUGUGGUCGUGGACUGUUCUGAGCGGCCCAGAGCUGACCUGGGCAAGAUCUGGUGUUCCUGGGAGAAGAGUGAGCCAGAGGCAGAGGUGGGAAUUAAAGCGAUGCCUUUCAGGAAGCUGGUCCCCCUCGGCACCAGCACCGGCACCAGGCUGGGGCUUCUUUUCCUUUCUGUCCUUGAGAUGAGGUACCUUGUAGCGAGGGGAGGCAAAGGAUGUUUAACAAGUGGUGUGGUGGAAGUGAGGAUGAGGCCCAGGCUUCCUUUUUUCCUGCGAAACACGUUCCCCUUUAGUUGCUGGUCUGGGGCCGUGGUGGCUGGGGAAGGGACUCUUCGGAGGGAGGGGUGGCUCAGCGCAGUAGCUGCUUAGCGACUGGCCUGGGAGUAUUUUAACGAUGGGUACAGGUUUAUUGGCGUC
rnacentral:lncRNA from 1 species